GGUUAAGCGACUAAGCGUACACGGUGGAUGCCCUGGCAGUCAGAGGCGAUGAAGGACGUGCUAAUCUGCGAAAAGCGCCGGCGAGGUGAUAUGAACCUUUGACCCGGCGAUGUCCGAAUGGGGAAACCCAGUGCAAUCCGUUGCACUAUCGUUAACUGAAUACAUAGGUUAACGAGGCGAACCGGGGGAACUGAAACAUCUAAGUACCCCGAGGAAAAGAAAUCAACCGAGAUUCCCCCAGUAGCGGCGAGCGAACGGGGAGCAGCCCGGAGUCUGAAUCAGCUUGUGUGUUAGUGGAACGGUCUGGAAAGUCCGACGGUACAGGGUGAUAGUCCCGUACACGAAAACACACAUGCUGUGAACUCGAAGAGUAGGGCGGGACACGUGGUAUCCUGUCUGAAUAUGGGGGGACCAUCCUCCAAGGCUAAAUACUCCUGACUGACCGAUAGUGAACCAGUACCGUGAGGGAAAGGCGAAAAGAACCCCGGCGAGGGGAGUGAAAAAGAACCUGAAACCGUGUACGUACAAGCAGUGGGAGCCUCUUUAUGGGGUGACUGCGUACCUUUUGUAUAAUGGGUCAGCGACUUAUAUUCUGUAGCAAGGUUAACCGUAUAGGGGAGCCGAAGGGAAACCGAGUCUUAACUGGGCGUUAAGUUGCAGGGUAUAGACCCGAAACCCGGUGAUCUAGCCAUGGGCAGGUUGAAGGUUGGGUAACACUAACUGGAGGACCGAACCGACUAAUGUUGAAAAAUUAGCGGAUGACCUGUGGCUGGGGGUGAAAGGCCAAUCAAACCGGGAGAUAGCUGGUUCUCCCCGAAAGCUAUUUAGGUAGCGCCUCGUGAACUCAUCUUCGGGGGUAGAGCACUGUUUCGGCUAGGGGGCCAUCCCGGCUUACCAACCCGAUGCAAACUACGAAUACCGAAGAAUGUUAUCACGGGAGACACACGGCGGGUGCUAACGUCCGUCGUGAAGAGGGAAACAACCCAGACCGCCAGCUAAGGUCCCAAAGUCAUGGUUAAGUGGGAAACGAUGUGGGAAGGCACAGACAGCCAGGAUGUUGGCUUAGAAGCAGCCAUCAUUUAAAGAAAGCGUAAUAGCUCACUGGUCGAGUCGGCCUGCGCGGAAGAUGUAACGGGGCUAAACCAUGCACCGAAGCUGCGGCAGCGACGCUUAUGCGUUGUUGGGUAGGGGAGCGUUCUGUAAGCCGUUGAAGGUGUCCUGUGAGGGGUGCUGGAGGUAUCAGAAGUGCGAAUGCUGACAUAAGUAACGAUAAAGCGGGUGAAAAGCCCGCUCGCCGGAAGACCAAGGGUUCCUGUCCAACGUUAAUCGGGGCAGGGUGAGUCGACCCCUAAGGCGAGGCCGAAAGGCGUAGUCGAUGGGAAACAGGUUAAUAUUCCUGUACUUGGUGUUACUGCGAAGGGGGGACGGAGAAGGCUAUGUCAGCCGGGCGACGGUUGUCCCGGUUUAAGCAUGUAGGCGGAGGUUCCAGGUAAAUCCGGUACCUUGUUAACGCUGAGGUGUGAUGACGAGGCACUACGGUGCUGAAGUGAUAAAUGCCCUGCUUCCAGGAAAAGCCUCUAAGCAUCAGGUAACACGAAAUCGUACCCCAAACCGACACAGGUGGUCAGGUAGAGAAUACCAAGGCGCUUGAGAGAACUCGGGUGAAGGAACUAGGCAAAAUGGUGCCGUAACUUCGGGAGAAGGCACGCUGAUAUGUAGGUGAAGUCCCUGCGGACGGAGCUGAAAUCAGUCGAAGAUACCAGCUGGCUGCAACUGUUUAUUAAAAACACAGCACUGUGCAAACACGAAAGUGGACGUAUACGGUGUGACGCCUGCCCGGUGCCGGAAGGUUAAUUGAUGGGGUUAGCGGCAACGCGAAGCUCUUGAUCGAAGCCCCGGUAAACGGCGGCCGUAACUAUAACGGUCCUAAGGUAGCGAAAUUCCUUGUCGGGUAAGUUCCGACCUGCACGAAUGGCGUAAUGAUGGCCAGGCUGUCUCCACCCGAGACUCAGUGAAAUUGAACUCGCUGUGAAGAUGCAGUGUACCCGCGGCAAGACGGAAAGACCCCGUGAACCUUUACUAUAGCUUGACACUGAACACUGGUCCUUGAUGUGUAGGAUAGGUGGGAGGCUUUGAAGCGUGGACGCCAGUCUGCGUGGAGCCAACCUUGAAAUACCACCCUUUAAUGGCUGGUGUUCUAACGUAGACCCGUAAUCCGGGUUGCGGACAGUGUCUGGUGGGUAGUUUGACUGGGGCGGUCUCCUCCCAAAGAGUAACGGAGGAGCACGAAGGUUGGCUAAUCCUGGUCGGACAUCAGGAGGUUAGUGCAAUGGCAUAAGCCAGCUUGACUGCGAGCGUGACGGCGCGAGCAGGUGCGAAAGCAGGUCAUAGUGAUCCGGUGGUUCUGAAUGGAAGGGCCAUCGCUCAACGGAUAAAAGGUACUCCGGGGAUAACAGGCUGAUACCGCCCAAGAGUUCAUAUCGACGGCGGUGUUUGGCACCUCGAUGUCGGCUCAUCACAUCCUGGGGCUGAAGUAGGUCCCAAGGGUAUGGCUGUUCGCCAUUUAAAGUGGUACGCGAGCUGGGUUUAGAACGUCGUGAGACAGUUCGGUCCCUAUCUGCCGUGGGCGCUGGAGAAUUGAGGGGGGCUGCUCCUAGUACGAGAGGACCGGAGUGGACGCAUCACUGGUGUUCGGGUUGUCAUGCCAAUGGCACUGCCCGGUAGCUAAAUGCGGAAGAGAUAAGUGCUGAAAGCAUCUAAGCACGAAACUUGCCCCGAGAUGAGUUCUCCCUGAGACCUUGAGUCUCCUGAAGGAACGUUGAAGACUACGACGUUGAUAGGUCGGGUGUGUAAGCGCAGCGAUGCGUUGAGCUAACCGAUACUAAUGAACCGUGAGGCUUAACCUU
rnacentral:rRNA from 1 species